GACGAACGCUGGCGGCGUGCUUAACACAUGCAAGUCGAACGGUAAGGCCCUUCGGGGUACACGAGUGGCGAACGGGUGAGUAACACGUGGGUGAUCUGCCCUGCACUUCGGGAUAAGCCUGGGAAACUGGGUCUAAUACCGGAUAGGACCACUGCCCGCAUGGGUGGUGGUGGAAAGCUUUUGCGGUGUGGGAUGGGCCCGCGGCCUAUCAGCUUGUUGGUGGGGUGAUGGCCUACCAAGGCGACGACGGGUAGCCGGCCUGAGAGGGUGACCGGCCACACUGGGAGUGAGAUACGGCCCAGACUCCUACGGGAGGCAGCAGUGGGGAAUAUUGCACAAUGGGCGCAAGCCUGAUGCAGCGACGCCGCGUGAGGGAUGACGGCCUUCGGGUUGUAAACCUCUUUCAGCACCGACGAAGCGCAAGUGACGGUAGGUGCAGAAGAAGGACCGGCCAACUACGUGCCAGCCGCCGCAGUAA
rnacentral:rRNA from 1 species